UUAUUUUCUUCUUUCUUUUUUCCGUCUCUCUCAGAGAAGGAGAAGAACUCCAUUAGAGUUACAAGGAAGAUUUUUAUUCUGAAUCUUCUCUUAUCCAUUAGACUUCAACUCCACGAACACCCGUUACACUUACACCACCUCUAGAUCGAGAAGAAGAAGGAGAAAUUGUUAACCAAGGGGUUAUAUCACGCCAAGGAGAAGACUAAGGGAAAGGAUUCAAGGAACCAUCCACCUCAGAAAUUGUUAAUCAAGGGUGCUUGCGAAUCUGUUGUACAAGUCAAGGAGGGAGAAAAAAAAGAGAUUAGUAAUUGUUUCUACUCGCGGUUUAGUGUCGGCGAGUUCCACUGGUUCUAUCAUAGCCACCACCAGUGCUGCCAUGGAGUUGGAAUAGCCGAAUAGUCAUCUUUCCUUUGCAAUGUCCUUCUUUUCUUCAUUCAAAUUACUUAAGAGUCUUAAGACUAUUGUCUGUAAUUGUGUAUGUCUAUGUGUUGCAGCUACUUUCUACUUGCUAUGUAUUUAGCUUUGGAUUGUUAAUAUUACAUCUAUCUUCGAUUAUAAAGAACAAGAAUUUUUUUUA